GAAAAACCAGAAAUAUAACUUCUUCGCUAAGAUGCCCUUUUGUACACAAACAACUAGCUGAGUGUAUGCAGCGAUAUUGUUUAGUAAUGAUCAUUGUUUACAAAAGCUGUAGUCGCCGGAGUAGAGAUCGGAGAAGUUGGCCGGAGAAAGAGCAAGUUAUCGGUGGAGAGAAAGUGAUCAGUGGUGGUGGUGGGUUCAAUGGACUUAGGACAAAGAAAUU
rnacentral:misc_RNA from 1 species